AUUGAACGCUGGCGGCAUGCCUUACACAUGCAAGUCGAACGGCAGCACGGGAGCAAUCCUGGUGGCGAGUGGCGAACGGGUGAGUAAUAUAUCGGAACGUGCCCAGUCGUGGGGGAUAACGCAGCGAAAGCUGUGCUAAUACCGCAUACGAUCUCAGGAUGAAAGCGGGGGAUCGCAAGACCUCGCGCGCUUGGAGCGGCCAAUAUCAGAUUAGCUAGUUGGGGGGGUAAAGGCCCACCAAGGCGACGAUCUGUAGCUGGUCUGAGAGGACGACCAGCCACACUGGAAAUGAGACACGGUCCAGACUCCUACGGGAGGCAGCAGUGGGGAAUUUUGGACAAUGGGCGCAAGCCUGAUCCAGCAAUGCCGCGUGCAGGAUGAAGGCCUUCGGGCUGUAAACUGCUUUUGUACGGAACGAAACGGCCCUUUCUAAUACAGGGGGCUAAUGACGGUACCGUAAGAAUAAGCACCGGCUAACUACGUGCCAGCCGCCGCCGUAA
rnacentral:rRNA from 1 species